AUGUCAACACCUAAGUAUAUGGGUGGAAUGGGUUUUUGUGACAUAGAACUAUUUAACUUGGCACUUCUUGCAAGGCAAGUUUGGAGAUUAAUGCAAGAGCCAAAUUCUCUUAGUGCUCGGAUUAUCAAAGCAAGGUAUCCGCCGGAGAGUGACAUAUUAACAGCAAGCAUUGGUUCGAAUCCGUCGCAAGUAUGGAGAGCCUUACUGGAGGGAAGAGAUGUGCUCAAUUUGGGCUUGAUAAAGCGGAUUGGCACGGGGCAGGAGACUAGGAUCUGGCAUGACAAUUGGCUGCCAAGGGAUUUUAAACUUCGGCCACUAUGUACUAUCUCGCAAAACCCGCCACGGAUGGUGUCUGAAUUGAUAGAUAGUGAGACGAAGACGUGGAAUGUUCAGAAGCUGCAUGAUCAUUUUGUCGGUCCUGAUGUUGAUGUCAUUAAGAACAUUCCGCUAAGCUCUCGUAUACAGGAGGAUCAUUGGUCUUGGCACUAUGAUAAACGAGGGGUGUUUUCCGUCCUACAGGAUGAUUACUGGCAUCCGGGCGCAACGGGAGGCGUGGUUGGAGCAGCGAACAGGACACUCCAAUCAAGAGGCGGACAAGAAAUCUUGGACGUACCUGUGGAAGAUUAA
rnacentral:rRNA from 1 species